CCUACGGGGGGCAGCAGUAGGGAAUAUUGCUCAAUGGGGGAAACCCUGAAGCAGCAACGCCGCGUGGAGGAUGAAGGUUUUCGGAGUGUAAACUCCUUUUGAUAGAGAAGAGAAGGACGGUAGCUAACGAAUAAGCACCGGCUAACUCCGUGCCAGCAGCCGCGGUAAUACGGAGGGUGCAAGCGUUACGCGGAAUGACUGGGCGUAAAGAGGGCGUAGGCGGGAUAGCAAGUGAGAUUUGAAAUCCUAGGGCUUAACCAUAGAACUGCAUUUGAAACUGUUAUUCUAGAGUAUGGGAGAGGUAGGUGGAAUUCUUGUUGUAGGGGUCCAAUCCGUCGCGAUCACGAGGAAUACUCAUUGCGAAGGCGACCUGCUAGAACAUAACUGACGCUGAUGCGCGAACGCGUGGGGAGCAAACAGGAUUAGAUACCCCAGUAGUC
rnacentral:rRNA from 1 species